GAAAUAAGGAAACCAGGAAUAAGCUUCUAACUUAAUUCUUAAGCAAUGAAAUUUUGUUUUUAUUUCU
rnacentral:tRNA from 1 species